UACGAAGGGGGCUAGCGUUGCUCGGAAUUACUGGGCGUAAAGCGCACGUAGGCGGCUUUCUAAGUCGGGGGUGAAAUCCUGGAGCUCAACUCCAGAACUGCCUUCGAUACUGGAGAGCUUGAAUCCGGGAGAGGUGAGUGGAACUGCGAGUGUAGAGGUGAAAUUCGUAGAUAUUCGCAAGAACACCAGUGGCGAAGGCGGCUCACUGGCCCGGUACUGACGCUGAGGUGCGAAAGCGUGGGGAGCGAACAGG
rnacentral:rRNA from 1 species